GCAAACGCAACGAACCUUUGAUUCGGAUCUUCAUCGGCCGGGCGAGAAGCCGCGCGAGAACGUCCCAUCCGAGCCAAACACGCAAGUCGGCCGAUUCCGAAUCGAGGUGGCGGAGCUGCUCGAACGAUAUCCCCUCAAUCCGCGGCCGCCUGCACGAUGCGGAUCGAUUGAGCUCACUCCGGAAGCGCUCGCAUCACUGCAAAUGCUUCCGUCGAUGGAGAUCUCUGUCGCGCUGCUCGGUGGCGGAGAGAGAGGGAGAGAGGGAGUCCCCCCAGCCGAUGGCAAUGUCGCAAUUCUUGUCUUUUUCCGGGGCUUUUUUACUUUUAUCGCUCUUUCAAUUGAUUCAUACGUAGGCUUGGGCCUACUUGGGCUUGGUGAUUUAAAUGGGCCUGGCGAAAAAAUCCGAACCGAAUUGAGAUUCGGGUUUUGGGCUAGGCCGAGGUUUAGAUUGGGUUUUUUCAUUUUAUCAUCUACAUGCUUAGUUUGUAGUUGUACAGCAGGUUAUCACAAACCACUUCGACUAAGUACGCCUAAAUUACCAAUAAAUAUGAGAGAAUAUGCAAUGAAAAAGGGGAGAGUUCUGGAUAUAAUUCGUUAAGAUUAGUCUAAACCAAACAAGCGCAUCGGUUAGAAAAAAUGGUUGAGUCUUUGUUGCAAUUCCCAUUACAAUUAGCCCGGAAUGGGGCGAUUAAUCAUACUUCAUGGCAGAGAAAAGCAGUCCCUUUCUCGUGAUUAAGCUCAAGAUAAUUGAUGCAGUAAAAUAGAGCACGCUAUAUUUGAAAAGAAAUUUUAUCAUGCAGCGGAUGGUCGAUUAGGCUAGUAAAUUAACAAAGACUAUGGAUAUCUAAGGCCUUCGUGGCUAGCAAGAUGACACUAUAGAUAAAUAUAAUUACAAACGUUCGUAGGCCCGGCUUAUCCCAUUGGCCAUUGUUCAUGAAAGUGUGUUGCUACAAGUCUAUAGACAAGGACUACGGGGAAGACUUAGAAACAAUUUGGUGAUUCAUGUCACAUGAACAUUUCGCCUAGAUUUUCAUUUUGAAAUAGAAAAUUUAGGGCACGUUUGGUAACGUUUCUGUUCAGGAGAAUAAUUUUUGAAUGGAAAUAGUUUUUUAUUUAUUUCUAUUCCCGGGAACAAUUUUUGUGUAUAAGAAUUCACUUAGUAAUUGAAAAAAAUUUCUACUCCAGGAAUAGAAAUGCGUUUAGUAAACUUGUAUAAUUUUGUUAUUUCUUUUAGUUUUUCAAUAUUUUUUAUUAUAUUUUUCCUUUUUUUUUCCUUCUUUGUCUUUGUGGUUGGUUGCUGGCCACGACGGCAGCCUGCGACCAACUGGGCAAGGCUGAGCCUCGUUGGUGGCCUCAGUGGCCAGGCGAGCCUCAUGCCGGCCGUCAAGGCUCGGCGACACAUCGGCAAGGAGGAAGAACAAGAAUCCUUGAAACAAAAGAACAUAAAUUUUUGUUCCAAGAAAUAGAAACAAAAAUAACAAACAGGGCCUUAGUCUCCAGGAAUUGAGCUGUAGUAUCAAUUCAGCAAACUCACAUACGAUCCAAAGAUGUAUGGUUUUGAUAUGGCUUUUUGAAACUCGUUGUUGGCUCCAGCUACGUCACUUUCUUCUCUAUGCGGCCGUUCUUCUAGUCUUUUUGUGAAUUCGCCACCAGGGCCUAAGAGUUUGCCUAUCAUGGGGAAUUUGUAUCGAAUGCUCUCUUCCUUACUGCAUCAUUUGCUUAUAGACAUGGCAAGCUAGCAUGGGCCGAUCAUGAGCCUCCAGGUGCGUGAAGUUUUGGCCCUAGUCUUUUGAUGGGUUGAGCAUGACAAAGAGGUGUUGAAGGUCCAGGAGCUGGCUUUGUGCAGAGUCCAGGUAAUUUUGCUUCUCUGGUAAUCGAUUACACGAAGGGUCCCUCUUGUUUUCUGUCCAUAUGGCGGAUAUUGGAGAUAGCUCAGAAAACUGGUGGUCCUUGAGGUCCUGACUCAUGAGCCAUAAGUAGGUCCAGUCUUUCAAAUCAAUAAGAGAAGAAGCAUGGGACUUCAUUAGCUCGAUCACUUUGUCUCAAGGAGCACCAAUCAACAUGAGCAAGAGAUUCGUUUCCUUGAUGAAUAACCUAAUUACAUGGGCCAUAUUUGGUGAAAAAUGUACAUAUCAAGAUAGCUUAACCUCAUUGUUCAUUGAAUUGUUAAUUCUGUCUGGAGGCUUCGACCUACUCAAUUUGAACUGCUCUCUAACGUUCUUGGGGUUCUUCAGGGAUGAGAAAGGCACCGGAAAGAAUACCUCGGAAAAUGGAUGAGAUUCUUGAAGUCGUCAUUGCUGGUUACAAAGAAAAGAAAUAAUCUGCCUAUAGGAGUAAUGAAUCUGGAGAAGAAGAUCUAGUCGAUGUGCUUUUAAAGAUUCAGGUGUCCAGAGAGCUUGAGUUUCACCUCACGAUAGAUAAUACCAUGGCAACCCUCCUCGUAAGACCGAAUCUUCACUCGCCCCUUAAUCUAUUUUGGCCUCUGCUAAGAUGAAAUUCCAUGCCAAGGCAUAAGUGAGGUCUGUGCAAGCUUAAUUUGGAUGCUUUUAGUCCAAGAAAUAAGAAAAUCAAACACGAACCUUCUAGAAUGCAGAUUAUGCCGAUGCUUGUUGGAAGAUAAGUGCAAUCUACUUCAUUCUUAAGAAGAAAACUCGGCAGUGCCGCAAAAAAAGUCACAUGAACUUCUAAAGGAUAAAUUCUCUUUUCCUUUGAGUGAACAUCAAGCUUACAAAGUUUUGCGACUGUCAGAAAUCAGAAUGUGCUUGCAAUUACUGAACAAGCUGAGUGUUUACAAUUCCUAUACCUUCAGAAGAGUCUACACACAAGUUUUGUGCCUAAUUUUGCUAGAAAUUAGCUUAUCGAUGCAAUAAUGAAGAGAUCAACUUGCGUUGCCUCCCACUAUAUGUUAAGCAUGCUUUUAUCUCCUCCUUUCCUCCACUUAUACCAAAUGUUGAUUCGCAAAAUAGACAAUGCAUUUGUUAGCCAGUGUCGGCAAUAUUAAAUUAAUGUCUCGAGUUUGAAUUUAGAUAACGAUUUGUUAAACUGAAUUUGUUGAAAAAGAUUUCUUCAAGCGGAUUACAAUCGGAUGAAGAAGUUUUUUGUUCUUCUUAUUGGACUUUGUUUUGGACGUACAAAAGAAAGCAAAACAAAUAAGUUGAUUCGCCACUACAAGACAAAAGAGGAAAUAAUAUAAAAUAAAAGAAAAAGUGAGGGUUUUACUUUUACUUGCAGAAGAAGCCUAGUUCACGUUGAAGUUAAAAGUUGGUGGGCCUAAGUCAAUUUUUUGACCUUGGACACAUGUAAAAAAGGCAGAACGUGUUCUUUCUUUCAAGAAAGCCGCAAAAAAAGGUUGAGGAGCCCCGCACAUCAGAAGAAAAAGGAAGAGCCCUAUGAAGUGAUAGAAGCAGCACGCCAGGAAGCCACUGUGCGCACAUAGGACGAAGGUGUUGAGUUUCUUCUUGGACUAUGUGAAGUGCUUGAGUGCUAGAAAGUUUUGUGCUAUAAGUUUACAUUAUUUAUUUGUAAACACAUGAGGUUUGAUAUUAAAUUUAGGUGUGGGAAAUACUCAAGUGUGUGAGCGACUGUACAUUUUUAUUCUCCGAUUAUAGUGGAUUAUUUGUUACUGGCUCUUCCCAUGGACGUAGGUAUCGAUAUUUGGACCAAACCACGUAAAUCUCUGAUGUUCUUAUUAUUUCUCGUUUAUUUCUCUGGUAAUUUCACGUUGAUGUAAAUUGCAAGAUUUUGUCGUUUUCGCAUAUUAUAUUUCAACAAUUGGUAUCAAAGCUUAGGAUCAGAUUUCUUGAUUGUGAUUUGAGGUUUUUGCUUGUCUAAUUAUUAUUUGAAAAUUUUGUUAUUGUAAUUAUGUCUGAGGCAAAAUAUGAAAUUGAGAAGUUUAAUGGGACGAACAAUUUUGGGUUAUGGAGUAUCAAGAUGCGAGCGUUAUUGAUAACCCAAGAUUUGGCUAAAGCAAUAGAUGGUGAAGAUGAGUUGCCGCUUAUAAUGAAAGUCUCUAAGAGGAGUAAAGCUAAUGGAAAUAGCAAAGAGUACAAUCCUGUUGAACUUGUAAGAUGAGGUUUUAAUAGAAGUGGUCGAGGAGAAGGAUGCCGCAGUAUUAUGAGCAAAACUUUAGGCACUUUAUAUAAAGAAAUGUUUGAACAAUCGCUUGUACAUGUUGAAGAUGAUGUUUCAAUUUAGGUAUAUUGAAGAUACAUCUAUCAGAACCCAUCUGGAUGAAUUUAAUAAACUCAUGAUGGAUUUGAAGAAUGUCAGUAAAAUACUUGAUGAUGAAAAAUAUGGCAUGAUGUUGUUAGCUUCUUUACCAGAGUCAUGGGAGCACUUUACAGAUUCACUAUUGUAGGGGUGUACUACAAUUACCUCAGAAGAGGUAAAGUCCAUAUUGUUCUUUAAAGAGUGGCAAAGAAAGUUGCGAGAUGAUGGUCUGGCGCAAUGAGUAGCGCAAGCAUUAACGAUUCGGGAUAGAGAACAAAAUUGUUGGCUUAAUGGAAGUAGAGGUAAAAGCAGAUUGAAAUCACACUAUAAAAAGUCUAUGUACACGUGAAGUGCUUUGAGUGCUAUGAGGAGGGGCACAUCGGGAAAGAUUGUCCAAAACAGAGGAAUAAAGGUGAUAGGCACAAUGCCACGCAAACAUUGCCGAGGGGAGUACUAGUGAUACGGAAGCUGUUUUAUGUGCAACCACUAAUUCGUUAGGAGACGAAUGGGUGCUAGAUUCAGGAUACUCUUAUCAUAUAAUGCCUUAUGAGAACUGAUUUACUACUUACCAAACUGCAUAUGGUGGUAGCGUUCUUUUAGGGAAUAAUGUAGCUUGCAAUGCUAUGGGGAUAGGGAUAAUUUAGAUUCGAAUGCACAAUGGGGUCGUGCGGAUAAUUCGGAUUCGGAUGCAUAAUAGGGUCUGCGCACAUUGUUAGGCGUGAGGCAUGUAUCGAAGUUUAAGAAGAACCUUAUUUCUUUAGGGACACUCGAUGACAUCGGGUGUAAGUACAUUGCUAAAGGUAGAGUGCUGAAGAUCUCUGGAGAUGCCAUGACAGUGAUGAAGGGGAAGAAAGUGAAUACUCUAUUAUUUAUUGAGAGAAACCGUGGUCGGAACUGCUGCAGUUUCAUCAAGUAAGUCAUGCUCUAAUUUAACUUAGUUAUGUCAUAUGUGUUUAGGACACAUAAACGAGGCAUGUAUAAUAAUGAUGAGUGGAAGAGGAUUGUCGGAAGGUUAUAAGGUAGGGAAGUUGGACCUAUAUGAGCACUACAUCUUUGGGAAGCGGCGCUGAGUUAAGUUUAUUACAACUAUUCAUUCGACCAAGUGACUAGUUGAAUAUAUUCAUUUAGACGUUUGGGGCCCGUCUUCAGUUCCUUCAAAAGGAAGUGCUCGAUAUAUGCUGACAUUUAUCAUUGAUUAUUCAAGAAAGGUAUAGGUAUAUUUUUGAAUUACAAAUAUGAUGUGUUGAUCGGUUCAAGAAAUUUAAAACAUUGAUUGAGAAACAGUCAAAUAAACAAAUCAAGUACUUAAAAAUCGAUAAUGGCAUGGAGUUAUAUGGUAAAAAUUUUACCAAGUUUUGCGAGAAAGAAAGGAUUGUAAGACAUUACUACAAUACUUCGGACAUCACAACAGAAUGACGUGGUAGAUUGAAAGAAUAUAACUUUGCUUGAGUGAGCUUGAUACAUGCUUUUGCAUGCAGGACUUUGCAAAGAAUUUUGGGCCGAAGCAGUAAACAUGGCAUGUUACCUGAUUAAUCAAUUUCCAUCAUUUGCUAUCGACUGGAAGACUCUCAAAGAAGUAUGGUCGGGGAAACCUGUUGAUUACUCCAGAUUAUGUAUAUUCGGAUGUCCUGUAUAUAUUCAUGCGAGUGAUAGUAAGCUUGAGCUAAGGGCGAAGGAGUGCAUAUUUUUGGGUUAUGCAUAUGGGGUGAAAGGCUACUGGCUGUGGUGCAUUGAUCCUAGAUUAUCCAAUUUUCUAAUCAGCAGAGAUGUGAUCUUUAACAGGACUACAAUACUUCAACAGAGGAGUUCUGAGACACAACUAACAGAGCAGACAGAUCAUGGUGUCAUUAGUGAGGUGGAGCUUUAGAUAGAGACUUUGGAACCUCAGAGGUAACAGAAACUGAGACUGCAGAUGAGGUUGUAAUUCUUGAAAUUGGUGAUAGUAAACAACUAGUAAAGCCACAACACACUAUAGUUGCAGACAAAUAGAGAAGGCAAAUUAAAUCACUGGUACGUUAUGGUUAUAUAGAUAUUGCUUAUGCAUUGACUGUAGGUGAUGAAGUGGAGACAAAUGAGCCUUCGUCUUACUCUGAGGCGAUGGCUAGUUUGGAGUCGUCGUAGUGGCUAGGGGCUAUGAGUGAAGAGAUGGAAUCACUAUAUAGGAAUUAGACACAGGAGUUGGUCAAAGUACUAAAUAGCCAAAAGAUUGUUGGAAGUAAAUGAGUAUUUAAACAGAAAGAGGACAUUCCCGUUGUCGAGACAACAAGGUGUAAGGUGAGACUUGUGGCAAAAAGGGUAUAUACAUCGUGAGGACAUUGAGGCCCCAUUUGGUUUAGCAUUUCCAAAAGGUUUUGAGCCCCCAAAGCCCCUUAGGAAAAGUUUUUAGUGUUUGAUUUAGCAUUUGGAGGUCUUCUUGGCCAAAUGUUUAAUUAUGAAAUGCUGAAAGCUCCUGCUUUGGGCUUUCAGCAUUUUUGGAAUGCUAAAUAGAUGCUUAAUGAUUUUUUUUCUUCUUUCAAUAUUGCCCUCACUGAUAAUUGUGUUUUCCUUUUUUGCCCUAAAAAAUCACUGUUCAUCACUUCCUUGGACUUGUUGCGUGAAGGGUCGUCGGAUCUGGUUGCCGAGAAGGGUCGCCUAAGGUCAAGCUACCUUGGGCAUUGACCCCUCGCACCGUCGUUGCUUGAGUUGCUAGCUCAAGCGACGUUGGUUGGGUUGCGUGACCUAGCCGGCGUCGCCUGAGGCCGCGACCUAGGUGACGGUGGUGUGGGGGUCGCGCGACUUGCCGCCUCCCCACCAUCACUGCCACCAGCCGCUUAGGUCUCGCAGGUUGCGUGACCAACGGACCUUUGUUACCUGGGUCUCACGGCCUCAAGUGACGCCGCCUGAGGCCGCGCAACCUAGGUGCCGGCGGUGUGUGGGUCACACUGCCUUAGGCGACCCAGGCGACGGCGGUGCGUGGGUCGUGUGACCCAGUCGACGUUGCUUGAGGCCGCGGCUUAGGUGAUGAUAGUGCGGGGGUUGCGUGACCCACCGCCUCCCCACCACCACUGUCACCAGCCGCCCGCCUUCCCCCCCACAACCACGAGCUCCGGCUGCCUCCCAAUUGUUCCUCUCUGCCUUUUUCCUUUUCUUUUUUUCCUUUUUCUUUUUACCUCAAAGCUACUUUGCAAAAUAGACCAAAAUGAGAGUAUUCAAACAUGUUUGCUUUCAUCAAAUGCCCAUUCCUUUAAAGAUACUUGAGGAAAUGCAAAGUCAUUUCCCCAAAGUUGAACUAAACGGGCUAUGACUACAACAAGGUGUUCUCUUUUGUGGUUAGACAUACUUCUAUUAUUGUUUUACUUGUUUUAGUUGUUUCGCAGGAUCUCGAGUUAGAAUAAUUAGAUGUAAAAACUGCGUUUCUUCAUGGUGAGUUGGAGGAGCGGAUUUACAUGAGCCAGUUAGAGGGAUUUGCUAUUUCGUGUAACGAAGAUCAUGUUUGCUUGUUGAAGAAAUCUUUGUAUGGGUUGAAACAGUCUUCUAGGCAGUGGUUUAAGCAUUUUGAUGUUUUCAUGGCUAGUCAAGACUAUUUGAAAAGUCAGAUGGAUAGUUGUGUUUACUUUAAGAGAUUUGAGAAUGGUUCUUUGAUUCAUCUACUCUUAUAUGUUGAGGAUAUGUUGAUAAUAACUAAAAAUUCAUCUGAUAUUAAUGUGCUGAAGAGACAAUUAAAUGCUGAAUUUGAGAUUAAAGAUUUAGGUGCUGCAAAUAAAGUAUUGGGUAUUAAGAUUUUGCGUAACAGGGCUGCAAGAUUUUUACAUCUAUCUCAGAAGAAAUAUAUUGAGAAUAUUGUGGCACAUUGUAAUAUGCAAUCGGUAAAAUCUGUAAGUACACAUUUAGUGAAAUAGUUUAAAUUUUCAGAUAAAUUAUCACCGCAGACUGAGGAGGAAGAUGAGCAUAUGUCCCGUGUUCCUUAUUCUAGUGCCGUGGGUAAUAUUAUGUAUGCUAUGGUGUGCACUAGGCUUGAUAUUUUACAAGUUGUGAGUGUGGUUAAUCGUUAUAUGAAGCAUCUUGGUAAAACUCAUUAGGAAGCUGUUGACACCUAUUUUUACAAAAAAAAAAAAAAAAAUCAAUCAAAAAGUAAAUAAAAAAAUCAAGAAAAAAAAAAGAGUUAAGGGUUAGGUCGGGCCGGAUCUAGCCUUGGCCCAGCCUGCCCCUCUUUCUCCCUCUUCUUUCCCCCACGCAUGGGCCAGCCCUUUCGGCCCACCGCCCGCCUCUCUUUCCCUUGUGCAGCCUAGGCCCAUUUCGCCUUUGGCCUAGCCCACACCAACUUUCUCCCCCCCCCCCCCCCCACAUCCUUUGCACGCGACUAAAGAAAAGCAAGAGGGAAGAAAAGAGAGGGGAGAGCAGCAUCGAGCACAGAGAGGAGAGAGCUCGACAGAGAGGAGAGAGCUUGAUAGAGAGAGUGAGCUCGAGAGAAAAGGAGAAAAUAGAGGAGCUUGAGAGCAAGAGAGAAGCAAAAAAUAUGGGGGGGGAGGAGGACGGUCGCCGAGCCACCGCACACCUCAACCCGUCCGAGCCGAGCCACUGCCCUCCUGCCUGACGCCGUUCCAAUCGCCGCCUGCACACUGCUGCCUUCGAGCGCCGACGCCCGUGCUUGCACCUCGGCCGGGUCUCUGCCAAUCACCGCUGAGUCCUGAUGAUGGAAGAUCUGAGUUGGUCGUCGCUCCAUCGUUGAGCGAGCCUUGCACUGGCCCGCGCCUUCGUGGCUGCUGCCUGCCUGCUUGCGUCGGCCACCACCUCCUCGCACUGGCCACCGCACUUCCACUCGUUGCCAUUGUCGCCAUAGUGGCUCGACUUCGUUGUCGUCUCCGAACGCCGCACCCCUACUCGCUCGUCCAUCACCAAUGACACCCUUGCUGCUCGAGCCACUUUAGCCUCUGCUGCCUUCGCCAUCGACACUUUGAUGCCUUCAUUGUCGGACGCCGCGUCGCCGUUUCGCCAGCCCCUGUUGCGCUUCGCCUCACCUGCAACUCGCAAGAUCCCGGCGAAGCUGCUGCUGCCCCUGCUUUGCCCAUGACUUGGUCGCCCAACGCCACUCCUUAGUGGCGACCUGAUGCAGCCCCUGUAGCGCCUCUACCCGCAACGCCGUUGCCGUCCCUGCUGCUGCUGCCGUUGUCCACUGCCCACCGCGCCGCAGUCGCUGAGUCACUGGCGUCCCGAGCGUCCUCCUUCGGCACCGCAGAAGCCUUAGAGAGAAGGGGCGCUCCAAAACUGGGUCUUGGCGGGGUCGGGCGAAAGUCAUGAACUGGGUAGGGUUUUCUCACAUCUGGGCUGGGUAUACCCAAGUUGGGUUUGGGCUGGUUUAGGACAUGGGCUUGUGGGUUUCGUCUUUUUGAAAUAGAAAAUAUUAGAUCAGAUUGGGCCCGCUGGUUGGGCCCAAUCUGAGCCAAGGAAAGGCCCAACCAAGGUUGGUUGGGCCUUGCCUUUCAAACGGGCCGAUUCGGCCCGGCCCCCAUUCGGGUUGAGCUUGGGCGGGUCUAACUGACCCGCCCCGACCAAGUUGGACUCGGGUCCGAUUUGAUCGGACUAGACCCAGUCUGACCCAAAUUUUAUUAUUAUUAUUAUUAAAAAAAAUUAAAAAAUUAAAAAAAUUUCGAAAAUCCAAAAAUGAUGGGAUUUGGUUAGGAAUUGAUAUGCAUUUCCUUUUUAGUGUAAUUAAGCCUUUAUUUUCCUGUAUAUUGAUUAUAUUUCAUGUUUAAUUCUCAUAUUUAAUUAUGUUUGCGGAUGUUCAAUUGCAUGUGCUUAAUUUUAUUGCAAUUAAGAUCUUGAUAGUUAUGAUUGUUACUUUAAUGAUUGCGCACUCACAUGAUCACCUCGCAUGUUAGUGAAUGGUAUAAAAUCAAUUCAAACUAUUUGACAAAAAUAUUUUCUUUUAAAAUGAACAAGAUUAGGUACUGAAAGGGCACUAAUUGAUCAAUUAGUGUAAUUAAGUCCUGACCCUAGAUUUCUUUGGUUGGUAGGAAGUGAGGUACACUCCCAUACCUCACUUGGUUUCUAGCCGACCCUAAUAGGCUAGUGGCGACUCAUUUUUGCGAAAUUUUCAAGAAUAUCCCAACGUCACGCGGGGUAUGGGCUUGGGAGAGCUCGCGCUUAAUCAUGGGCCUUAGGCCCACCUUUUAGGCAAUAUCCCUAAACCUAUUCCCUCCCCCAGAGGGUAGGUCGCGACAGAAACUGAGAAGUGGAUCCUUAGAUAUUUGAAUGGGACAACAAAUGUGGGUAUAGUGUACCAGAGGGACAGUAAUGGUAGUGAGACCACUGAUUUUGUGGAUUCAAAUCAUGUCGAUGAUUUGGAUGAUUGCAGGUCUUUAGUGGGGUACAUGUUUACGCUAGCAGGUGAUGCAGUUAAUUGGAAAGCGUCCUUACAAGAUCACAUUGCCUUGUCUUCGACUGAGGCAGAGUACAUGGCUUUAACUUUUGUAGUGAAGGAGGCCAUAUGGUUACCAAGUUUGCUUUUGAACUUUGUGCUAGAAUAGAAAAGUGUGGAUAUAUACUAUGGUAAUCAAGGUGCAAUAUAUUUGGCAUAUAAUCCAGUUUAUCAUGAGUGAAUGAAGUAUAUCAAUAUCAGGUACCACUUUAUUCGAGAUGUUUUUGUUAAGGGUGAUUUUAUUGUGAAAAAGAUCUCUACAGCAGAUAACCUAACAGACAUGAUGACCAAGUUUGUUCAUUUGUCCAAGCUCAAGCUCUACUUAAGCUCUUUUAUCAAUCUCAUAUUUCAUUAAUAGUCCAUCAAUCUUGUGCUGAAUAUCCAACUAUAGUCACGACAUAAUGCCAUGUGACAAGGUGAUCGAAAUUCCCCUUGACAAGGUUUCUGUCUAUUAUCAAUUGGUAGCCCGGCCUAGAAGGACAUCUUGACAAUAGUUUACAUACUCAUUGGGUUUUAAUCGUAAAGACAUAAGCAUAAUCUACUAACAUCAACCUCCAAUAAUCCAGAAACCAAAUCUAGAAUCCAUAUCACAAAUUUGUUUUACAAACCAAAACAUAUAAUCUUUGACAAAUCAAUUCUUUUCAUAAAUCAUUUCACAAUAAUCAACUCAUAACCCAUUUCUCGAAAAAUGCCAUAUUAUGUUAUUUCAAAUAAUUAGAAGGUAGUAAAUACCUAAUCCGGAUUUAUUGCCACAAUAAUGCUUUAAAUAUCACUUCUUACUUUUUUAUAAAUAUCAUGUCAUGCCAUGCCAUUUAUAUUCAUACUAUAUAUCAAUUCUAUCACUUUUAAAUAUGUGUGUAUAAGUUCAUGGAAGAAAUAAUACUACUUACCUACUCUAAUUGUCGAACUUGCAAUCCUAUCAAAUAAGAAAGAAAUGACGUCAAAAUCAAGUGAGAUACUAUCUCAACUAUGAAUUGGCUAAACUAAGUUUAGUUGCUAACAAUAUGACUCUCACAUGUCAACAAAUCGCUCGCUCAAAGUACAUGUUUAAAACUAUCUACAAAUGUUAAAAUUUCGUUCCAACUAAAAUGUUACUUUUCGAAUUGAUUCCCAUCAAAUCCCAUAGCUCCAUAGCACUCUAAUAUGUGAUUUAUCCUACCAAUUACUAUAAAGACAAGUAUGGUCAUUGUUUCUGGGAUAUUUUUUGCCAAUGUUCCUAUUGUAUAAAUUCUCCUGACGAGGUAAAUCCUUUUUAAAAGACGAGGAGGGUGUAAUGUGUUAGGCAGAGUCCCCUGAAGUAAAGUGUGCGCCUUGUGAAAAACCUCUCUAUGGCUUUCUAAACUCCUCUUCUGGUGGGAUCCUUCGAGAAAUGCAGCUCGGGUAGGUUAGAAAUGUUUUCAUCCUGGCAUCUCUGAGUGUCUCUAGGCUCUGAACUAAAUGGCUGAGUGGUUUUCUAUUAAAAGUUUGUCCUUAAAGGGCUUGAACGGGAGUUGUUCACCCACUGUGGGAAGGCAUACCUGCAGAAAAUUGACUUCGUCCUCCCUGGUUCUAAGUCUUCCAAAUGGACUUGUAGUUUAAAUUUCAUGUAAUUUUGAAUCUUUGUCCUAACUUAGAAAACUAUUUUGAUUAGAUGAAUAAAUAGCUUAAAUUCUUAUCAAAGCUGCGAAACGAAGUUAAUCUGGCUUUGUGAGGUCCCUAUUACGUGUACCACUUUCUCUUUUCUUUUCCUUUUUCUUUUCUUUCCCUUUUCUUCUUUUCCUCUUUCCUCUUGUCUCUGUUCACCGGACGAAGUUGCACUUUCCUCUCUCUUUCCUUUUAUCUCUCAAUCGUCUUCUUUCUAUAUUUAAUUUUUUUUUCCGCCUACUACUUUUGACCAAGCCCAGUGAAAAAGGCACUAUUACAUGACUAACCUUGGAUACAUCAGAUUGAAGGAUGUAUACUAUUUGUCUUGCCAAUAUUGAACUUCCACUCGCUCGAUUGCCCUACACUUCGAUUAGAAGCUAGAAGAGUUUGACAAUACCAAGGUAUGUGGAGCUAUAGCUUGGAAAAGGAAAGAAUUGAACUUAAUUGCCAACCUAUAGUGUUUCAUCCCAAAGCAUUGAGAGUCGUAUCAAUGACCAUUAUAUACUCCAUGUCCUCGUGAAAGAAGAUUUUGCCAUUGAGGCAUUACUGAUGUAAUAAGACACUCCUGCUGCUAAUGGGGCCAUCCUUUCUUCCCUACAAAUCUGCAAAUUGCAGGAGCAUGAUACUAAUAUACUGAAGCCAUAUUUGGAUACAUUGAAUGAAUGUGGCUCAAUGCACCUUAGUUCUUAGAUCAGGUGAAUUCUAUUUGACUCCAUCUAUGAGACCAGUCUAAUUCAACGUCGAGUCUAUUCCUUCUAUCCUCAUCAUUACGAAAAAUAUCAGUAUCCUUUCUCGGAUAUAAUCCCCUAGAAAGGGAGGUCCAUAGCAUAUUUUCUAGUGUCUACUUUUGGUUGAUAAAUGGGUAUUUAUAUUGUGACCUUUUUAUGGGAUAACAGGAAAAAAAGCAGUUAUGUUUUAAGUCAGGUCAUUGAAGACUUUGCACAGCGUCAAGAACGUCAAUUAAGUCUGGCCCUGCACUUUUCUCGGUCCCCACCAGGAGCUGGUUGACGGAUAUGAAAAAAUCGUGUUGAUUACUUUGGCUGGCAUGAAGACGAAGACUUCUGUAUUUCCAAGGAAACUACCGUGGGAACAUGAAGAAAGACAGAAAAGAUCAAAAGGAGAGGACCUACCCAGUAGUCACAGGUUUCUUUUAAAGGAUGAAUGAAUUGUUAAAACAAAUUGGAACUCGCAAAUCUAUCAAAUAAGCAAUAAACGGUGUCAAAAUCAAGUAAAUAUUAUCUCAAUUACAAAUUGGCUAAACUGAGUUUAAUUGCUAAUAAUAUGACUCUCACAUGUUAACAAAUCGCUCGCUCAAAGUAGAUGUUUAAAACUAUCCACAAAUGUUAAAAUUUUGCUCCAACUAAAAUGUUACUCUUCAAAUUGAUUUCCAUCAAAUCCCAUAGCUCCAUAGCGCUCUAAUAUGUGAUUUUCAUUAAAUUCCACAACUUAACAACUCCCAAAUUGGACCUGCAGUUUAAAUUUCACGUAAUUUCGAAUCUAUGUCCUAACUUAGAAAAUUAUUCUAAUUACAUGAAUAAAUGGCUUAAAUUCUCAUCAAAGCUGCGAAAUGAAGUUAAUCUAGCUUGGGGAGGUCCCUAUCACGUGUAUCACUUUGUCUUUUCUCUUCCUUUUCUUCUUUUUUUUCCUCUUUCCUCUUUUCUCUGUUCACCGGACGAAGUUGCACUUUCCUCUUUCUUUCCUUUUAUCUCUCAAUCGUCUUCUUUCUCUAUUUAAUUUUUUAUUAAUUAAUUUUUUUGCCGCCCACUACUUUUGACCAAGCCUGGUGAAAAAGGCACUAUUACAUGACUAACUUUGGAUACAUCAGAUUGAAGGAUGUAUCCUGGCAUAUUAUUUGUCUUGCCAAUAUUGAACUUCCCUUUCUGCUUGCUUUUUGUUGACGAGUCAACUUUUUUCUUUCCUGCCCAAUUGACUCAGUCAACGCCACUAUCUCAAUCACUGCCCAUUUGCACACGAACUGCCAUUGCUGAGAGAUAUAGGAACGAAAUUAUAUGUACAAUUCAGACACGACAGUUGACGAUUCAUGCAUUCGGACGGGUAUCCCAUUCUGUAUUUGCAGUUUGAUAAAAGAUUGUAAUCAGAUCAUCUUAGUGAACAAUUCAAUGAAACUCGCGAUGUAAGAACAUCUUCAUCAAAGAAAGAGAUGUGAAAUGGGAACAAUCUCAUUUGUCCGAAAGAGAUGACUAGAUGUUUGGCCUAAUCAAUCCUCGCUCUGCAUCCCUUUCGUCAUUGCCGACCUGCAAGUCAGCUCCACAAAGAGUCUGAAGCUCUUUCUGUUGCAUGGUUUCCACUUGAGAGGAUUUUGCGAUCUGGUCUCUGGCUGAUCAGGUGUGUGAUUGUAGAGGAAAACACCGCCUGAUAUGGAGACCGCACACAUAUAUAUACACUAUAUUCAAGUGUUAUGAGAUAGGAAAUCCAAGAUUACAUGAUAUUACAUAACCAUCACAAACAUCUACUAUGAUAGGAUAUUCCUAAUUUUUACCGUAAGAAUAUUAAAUUAUUAAAACAAUGUUCAGCUAACAGCUUAAAUUAAAACAGUUGAGAGUGAUUUCACAAAUCUUUACAUGGUAUCAAAACAGAAAGUCCUAAAUUCAAAUCUUUUAGGACCCUUUUCUAGAACGAUUGUAGUGGUCUUACAAAACUCUGAACUGACUAGGUGAAAUCCAGUAUUAUAUACUUCUAUUUCUGUUUAUAUUUGGGGAAGAAACGGUGUCAAGCGUAUAUUAAUAAAAUGCCUAAACAAUGAUAUUCCGUAUCUUGCAUUUUCUAAGCUGGCGUGCUCUUUGGGGUGGAAGAAUUCUAAGUCAAGAGACAUUUCUGUUCAUGCCUUCCAAAGAAAAGUAGUCCAUGUCUUGAGGUGUCAUAUAUAAUUGGAGGAAUUGAGUUCCGCAGUCGGUCACAGAACUAGGUCAUGAUCUCUAGAAGGCCUCGUGAAGCACGUUACGGACUGUUUUAGAAGGCUAUCUGGUCAACCAACCCGUUAUAACAUUCACACGGUAACAUGAUCUAUCUAUCAUAGUCUACUCACUGUAGUAGAUUAAAGCAUGAAAAUGACAGCGGAGAAGAACUCGCCUAUAUAACAUCUCCAUCAUCAGGCCUUAUGUACACUCGAGUCGGCAGAGUGAGUUUAAGAGUACCACUAGAUUUGCUAAGCCAACCAUGGAAAAAGAGUCAUUUCAAUUCAAGUUUUUGAUACUCUUGCUAACUUGCGUUGCUUCACACUCUCUUGUUUCAACCCAACCACAUUGCCAUGAAGACGAGAGAUCUGCGCUGUUGGAGUUCAAGGAAACCUUCUUCACCAUAAAGCCUCCUUGCUGUUCCAGCGCCACUUCAGAUGUGCAACCAAAGAUCGAAUCCUGGAACGCAUCAACAGGGGAAACUCAAAGCGACUGCUGUUCUUGGGCUGGUGUUGAAUGUGAUGAGGUAAGCGGUCACGUGAUCGGCCUCAACCUCAAUUGUAGUUGUCUCUGGGGUGAAAUGUACUCCAACACCAGUAUUUUCCGUCUUCUUCACCUAAGAAGCCUUAACCUUGCCUUGAAUGACUUCAAUUGUGAGAUUCCUCCGGCAAUUGGAAAUCUUAGUUCCUUGACGAACUUGAACUUCUCCGGCUCCAACUUCACGGGCCACAUCCCACGUUCGCUCAGUAACUUGACCCAACUUGUCCAUCUAGACCUCUCAAAUAAUAGGUCCAUAGGCACAACACUCAAAGACCUGACCAUAUCUACUUACUCUCCUUGUGUUCCACAAAUGACGAAUGCUGGUCGAAGUGCUGAUAUAUAUCGCCGAAACAGACGUCUGAAUGCUGCGCAUGUCGGCCCAUAUAGAGAUGAAAUCCCAUCUUGUGGACGUCAUAAUCACCCGAAGCAUUUAGAUCGACGCUUCGAUUUUAUCAAGGGUGAAGUUCCAUCUUUCUUGGGGAAUUUGGUCCAGCUUAAGAGUUUAAGUCUAGCAGGCAAUUUGUUAAAUGGGCAAAUUCCAUCCUCUCUCGGGAAUCUCGUCCAACUUACCAGUCUAGAUUUAAGCUUAAAUAACUUAACAGGCAAAAUUCCAUCUUCCAUUGGAAACCUAGUUCAACUUACUCAUUUAGAUCUGGGAUACAAUCAAUUAGUGGGUGAGAUUCCACUCUCUUUCCAAAAUCUCAUGGAGCUUAUACUUUUAACACUUCGGUCAAAUCAACUGAGCGGCAAAAUCCCAUCCUUGUUGGGAAGACUCAUACAGUUGAUUGACAUUGAUAUUUCUUUCAACCAAUUUCAUGGUGGAAUUCCAAGCACGAUUUUCCAAUUACAGGGUCUCCACACACUUAAUUUGAAUUCAAAUAACUUGAGUGGCACUAUAAAGUUAGAUAGGUUUUCAAAGGCUAAAAACCUUCAAGUACUUGGGUUAUCCUCUAACAAAUUGUCAUUGAUUGUCGAAACCAACAUAACUCACAAGUACAAUGCUCUAGGUUUAGGAUCAUGCAACUUGAAUGGUUUCCCGGAGUUUCUACAAGAUCAGGAUGAAUUGUUUUUCUUAGAUCUUUCCUACAAUAGCAUUUCUGGUCAAGUUCCUGAAUGGUUUCUGAAUGUGAGCACAACAGAGCUGCGUCAUUUAAACCUUUCCGGCAACUUUCUUACAAGCUUUGCUCAAGACCCCGUUAUUUUCAAGUGGGAAAAACUCGUUGUAAUAGAUCUCCGUUUUAACAAGUUGCAAGGAUCAGUUCCUAUUCCCGCUCCUAAAAUGUGGUACUACUUCAUCUCAAAUAACAGGUUCUCAGGAGAAAUAUCACCACUCAUAUGCCAUCUAAGCUCUAUUCAGAUGAUCGAUUUGUCUUAUAAUAAUUUGACUGGGUUUCUUCCACAAUGUUUAAGUAAUUUGAAUGGUACUUUGGAAGUAAUGAGUUUACAGAGCAACAAAUUUAUUGGGAAAAUUCCUAAUUUGAAUGGGAAUUUCUGUGCGCUCGUUAUGAUUGAUCUGAGUUAUAAUAAAUUGCUUGGGCCAUUGCCAAGAUCACUCCGCUACUGUGACAAUUUGGAAUUCCUGAAUUUCGGAAACAAUCAGAUUAUGGAUGUUUUCCCGUCAUGGUUGAGCUCACUUCGUAGGUUGAAGGUACUUAUAUUGCGGUCUAACAGAUUUCAUGGAAUUAUUAGAAAACCCGCUGAUGGGAUUGAGUUCUUUGCACUGCAAAUCAUCGACCUAUCCCAAAAUAUUUUUCUGGUAACUUGCCAUCGGGAUACUUUAAGCAUUGGACUGCCAUGAAAGAUCUUGAGAAAAAUUCGUCAAGGUACAUUGGGAAUGCUAUUAAACGGGCUUGGAUUUUCUCUUCAGACGCAACCUUUCACUACUCUAUGAGAGUAAUUGCCAAAGGCAUCCAAAUGAAUUACUUAAAGAUCCAAGGGUACCUCGCAUUGAUUGAUCUCUCGAGCAACAACUUCAGCGGAGCAAUCCCUGAGGCCAUCGGAAGCCUAAAGCAAAUAGUAUUGCUCAACCUUUCCAACAACAUUCUCUCGGGUCCUCUGCCUCCAUUCUUGGCAAAGCUAACCAAUUUGGAGGCGUUGGACCUAUCUCAAAACCAGCUCUCAGGAGAGAUCCCUCAGGAGUUGACGCAACUCAAUUCGCUUUCGGUCUUCAACAUAUCUUAUAACAGUCUAACUGGGCCAAUACCACAGUCACAACAGUUUGCUACAUCCGAAAACAAUUCCUACAAGGGAAAUCUGGGGCUAUGUGGCACUCCUCUGUCUAGAAAAUGCAGAGAUACCAAAGCGCCAUCAUCUCCUACAUCCAAAGAAGAUCAAGAUUCGGGGACUGCAAUGGAAUUAGAAUGGAAGAUCGUGUGCAUGGGGUAUGCAAGUGGGUUAGUGAUUGGAGUAGUCCUCGGGAACUGCUUGAUCACAAGAAGAAGGGUUCAGCGUCUUGCGAAGAACUUUGGCAGAAGAAAACAAAGGCGAAGAAGGUAGAAGAGAUGGUCCGCACCAAGGAAUGCUCAAUCGAAAUCCUUCGUCUUCUGUUAUUUAGUACUUGUAACUUUCUCUGUUUUUUUUUUGCUAUAGAUAUUAACUAGUCCAUAAGCAUAUUGAGUUUAAGGAAACCAUGUUGUUUUGCGAUGGUAAGUCCCAAUCAUAACGCCCCAUAGUUGUGCUUGUGAAGACAAACAUAUUCCAAGAAAUGAGGUAAAACCACCAAUUCAGUCAAUCCCUUCAUUUCGGAAUAAUCCUUUGGCUCCUACAAAUCUAGAAUUACCUUCAAAUGCUCCAUUCAUAUUCAGUUUAAUCCAUCUUGGUGGUGGAAUAUAUAGAGCAUUUUCUAAUUAUUCAUGCGUGGGACAUAAAUAAUAAAAAAAAAUUGGUUAGAAUGAAACUUUUGAACCAUCCCUAAAAUAAAUUCUUGAAAGUGAUUCAUGUAAUAUAAUAUAAAAAGGUCAAUACUAAUUGAUUGUAUGUGUAGAAUAAUAAGCAAUCGUUUAAUUAUAUAUAUUGGCUCAUAAAAAAAAAGUGAAAUUUUUUAGGGAUAAGUAUGCUAUAAGUCAUACAACUUGUUCAAAUGUGCAUUUGAUUCCUAAAAUCUUCAAAAAGUGCAAUCAAGUCCUAAGUGUGAUGGAGUCCUACAACUUUUAAAAAGUAUAAUUAAGUUCUAUAACUUAUUAAAUUCGUGCAAUCGAGUCAUUCUAUUAACUGCAUCCAAUUUUUUUUUAUUAGUUUGUAACUCCAUCCAACUUGACAAAUGAAAAAUACUAAUAAGUUUUAUGACUUGAUUGCACUUUUGAAAAUGUUUUAGAACUAAAUUCCACUUCUAUGACAAGUUCGAGGACUUGCUUACAUUUUUAGAAAUUUUAUGACACAAUUACACUUUAUGACAAAUUUUAGAACCUCAGCGAACUUACUCUUUCUUUCUUUUAUCUCUUGCGGUCCUUUUUUUUUUUAGCGCACACUUUUGACCUAGUCUAAAGUCCUCACGUUACAGUAGCCAUGGCCCUUGAAUGGGCGAUGGCCAAAAUGGUGAAGAACCCCAAAGUAAUGGAGAGUGCUAAAAUCUGAAAUUCGGCAAGUUCUUUAAGGAAAAGAGAUGAUCAAUCGGCGAGACAUCUAGCAACUACACUACUUGAGACCAGUCAUUAAAGAAACUCUACGCUUGCAUCCUCCUAUUUCCUUCAUCACAAGAGAGUUAAGGGACAGAUGUGCAGUCUCCAUAUAAGAGAUACAGCCAAAACCUGUAGUCAUCGUCAAUGCGUGGGCAUUAAGAAGAGAUCUUGAUCAAUGGAAUGAUGCCAAAUGCUUUAUUUUAGAGAGAUUUAAAUUCUCUUCGGUUACCUACAAAGGGACUAACUUCGAAUACAUUUCAUAUGGAGCAAGUAGAAGGAUUUGUCUGAGCAUAUUAUUUGGUCUUGCCAAUAUCGAAUUUUCACUUGCUCGAUUGCUCUACCACUUUGAUUGGAAGCCAGAAGAGUUUGACAUAUCAUGAUCUUUGGAGCAACAACUCAAAAAAAGAAUGAAUUGAACUUAAAUGCCAUCCUAUAGCAUUCCAUCCCAAAGCAUUGAGAGUAGUAUCAAGGGCUAUUAUGCACUCAUAAUCAAGUUUUAGGAUUUCAUGGCAUUUUUUGAAAAUUUUAUAACUCAAUUGUAUUUUCCCAACAAGUUGUAGGACUUAAUUGCAUUUUUUUGAAAAUUUUAAAACUUAAUUGCAUUUUUGUAACAAGUUUUUAAACUUUAACUACACUUAUUCCAUCAUUUAAUUAUAUAUAUUGGCUCAUAAAAUGAAAACAAAAUGUUAAAUUAUUUGAUAGAAGAUAAAGAAACAUACAUUCCUAUUUCUUAUAUGUAUUAUUCAAAGAGUUUGAGUUGCCGAGAGAUGAUCCUAUAUACGAAGAGGAGAAGAAGAAAAUGAAUAUGAAUGCAAGUGGGAGCCAGAGUUUCGUUGUCCAAGAUCCUAGAGAAAAGAGAAGAACAAAGGAGGAAUGUGGGACCCGUAAGAAAAGAAAAGCAAUAAAUAAACAAAAAUGGAGGAAAUUUGACCGAAACAUGCAAGACAAAGGGGGAAAAAUGGCAAAAAUACUGUUUUUGGGAGUGUCAAAGCCAAAACUAAGAUGGAAAUAGUUCGGACUUUUACUUUAUUCACUCUUUUGUUCAUUUUCAUUCAUACACGACUUUGGCACUUUUGGGCAUGGUGAUGUAAACGGGGGGGCAUUGGGAAAAAAUCCGAACCGGUCCGAAUUGAGACUUUGGUUUUGAACUAUACUUGAAUCAUGGGCGGACCAGUAUUGGACCUUAAAGUCCUGCUAGUAAUAUAAAACUAUUAACUUCUUCAUAAAAUAAUCGGGCUUGCAGGGGCUUUGAGGGCCUAGGUGGAUGCACCAGGGCCCAAGAGAAAUUACAUGGUUAGACCCGCCCAAUUUGUGUUUCUGGCCUGGGCAGGCCUCAAAACCCGUUAUUAUAUAUGUUUUAGAACGAAUCCAUUAACCUAUAAAUUUUAAUAUCGAACGGUUCGAGUACUUGAAAACUGAUUUAUAAAACUGGCACAUUAGAAACGUAACAGAAGAGGGUGAAAGAAAUGGAACAAGAGAAAGAGGAGGUAAAGGUUUGGAUUGGGGUUUAAUUCUUGUGUCUUCUUCACGUUCAUGCUUAAUUUGUAUACUAUGCUUAUUGCAUAUUCUCUCCUCUUUAAAAGUGAAAAGUUUUAGAUAUGAUUCAUUAGGACUAGCUCGAACCAAAGAAGCACAUCGGCUGAAAAUAGGGUCGAGUCUUUGUCGAAGUUGCUAUUAUAGUUAAGUUGACCUGAAAUGACUCAAUGGAUCAUACUUCAAGAUUGAUAAAAGCAGUCCUUCGUUAUGAUUAGCUUUGAAAAAUUAAUGUAGUAAAACUAGACAGCCUAUAUUUGAAAAGAAAUCUGCUCAUGCUAGUUCGGGAUCAAAUUUUUCUUCAUCGCUGCUAAUUUGCAUGCGAACUGCCAUAGCUGAGAGACAUAUGAACAUAGUUUCAAGAACAAUUCAACCUCAGUAGUAGACAAUUCAUGCGGUCGGAAUUGUCUCUGGUUUUUUUCUUUCGAAGUUUGAUGAGAAGUUGUAUUCAGACCAUCUUAGGGAACAAUUCGAUGACCAUCGAAUUGUAAGAACAACGAAGGAAGAGAUGUGAAAUGUGAACUUUCUCAUUUUCGUCCAAAUAGGUGAUUUGAUGUUUUGGCCCAAUUAGUCCUCACUCGGCAUCCCUUUCAUCAUUGACUGACUGCAAAUUAGCUCGACAGAAAGUCGGAAGCUCCUUUUGCUGCAUGAUUCCAAUUGAAUGGAUUUUGUCAUCUCGUCUCUAGCUGGUCAGAUGUGUGAUUGGAAAAGAAAACCACGCGUCAUGGAGACCGCACACGGGUAUUUACACUAUAUUCAAGUGUUAUGAGAUAGGAAAUUUAACAUUAUAGAAUAUUACAGAAUCAAGAUACACAUCUACUAUGAUACUAUAUCCUGUUCUUAAUUAUUAGAAAAUUAAAGAAUUGAAACUGCAAAUUCGACUAAUGACUUCAACUUUUAAAAUUGUUGACAGUAAUUUUACAGAAUUUUACAUGAUCAAAAUAUGAAUAGUUAACAAUGGCUCCAUCAAAUUUUACAACAACCAGGCCAAUUCUAGUAUUAUAUAUUUCUAUGUCAGCUUUCAUACGUGGAAGAUACUGGGUCGGGCGUAUAUUUUUAAAGUGUCCCAACGAUGACCUUCCGUAUCUUGAUUCUUCUUUUUCAAUUUUUCAAGUUAGUUUGGAGUGCAAGAAAUUCGAAGUGGAUAGGCAUCUCUGUCCAUGCCUUCUAAAAUAACGUCCUUAUUUACUAACCCAUUUGCAGUCAGGAAGCUCCUUUUUUGGAAUAUUUGAGGAGACAUGUUACCCGCAGAUAGCACCCCAAGCACAUCCCAGGGCGAUAGUUAAAAAGAAAUAUAAAGAAUGACUUGGAAAUUAGGAGAAGUUCGACGCUAUAGACUUUGAUUUUUUCCUUUUAUAGUCCACCGUCGGAGGCGCUAUCUAGAAUAAAAGAGUCGAGCAGUCCAAAUCAUGAGCUGUUGAAGUGAUUUAUGUAAUAUACACACACACACAUAUAGGCCAUCUCUAGGUAUCGCAUAAGUUUAAUAAUAAGCAAUUAUUUAUUUAAUACAGAAGAUAAAAAACAUAUUCAUAUUUAUUAUAUGUAUUGUGCAUGUACACAUUCAUAAUCCAAAUAGUUGCAGAUCAUUAGCAUGUAAUAGGACCUCUGCAAAGAAGAUGUACAAUUAGGGCGAUUUAUGAUUUUGCUUUGUCUUCCCAAUUGAAGCUUGCAAAUAGUAUUCCGGCCAUAAUUGGCAUUGGCCAGUAGCUACAGAUGAAGAUUUACUUGAAUCAAGGCUGCUAUUUGCGGUUUUCUAGUUCCUAAUCCUUCUAUAUAUGAAUCAACUAAGCUCGCUCUAGAAGCGAAUGUAUCAUUGUAUAUGGUUAUGUUGAGAGAGAUAUCUGUUGCGCUACUUAGUCAUGGUGAGAAUCCCAUCUAAUGGCAAUUCGAAAUUUUCGUCUUCUAGUUUUGGUGAUGUAAACGGGUCUAGAAAAUGUAAAAAAUCCGAAUCGGUCCGAAUUGAGAUUUUAGUUUUGAAGUAGACUUGAAUAUUGGGCUAGCUGGUAUCAAACCUAAAACCCUGCCCAUGAUUCGAAAACUACUUUUUUAUUAUUAUUUUAUUUUAUAAAAGGAUGCAUGAAAGUACAGUGGAGGUAAUGGUUUAGAUUGAAAUUUAAGUGUUGCGUCACUAUCAUCUUCACGCUUAAUUUGUACACUAGGUAAUCAUUAGUCGAUUUGACAAAGUACACUUGGUCGUCCAAUAUCUUGCAUGGUAUUACAAGAGAAUACACAAUGAAAAUGGGAGAGUUUCCGAUAUGACUCGUUACGCCUAGUUCAAAGUAAAGAAGCACAUCCUCUUGAAAAAAAGAAGAAAAAGGCUAAAACUUUGUUGGAUUUGCCAUUGCAGUUGGUCCAAAAGAACGCAAUUAAUCAGACUCAAUAUCAAGAAAAGCAAUACUUCACUAUGAUUAUGCUCAAGAUAAUUAAUGAGGGAUAAUUACAAUAACAAAAAAAAAAAAUCCUAAACCUAUUAUAAGAGACAAAAUCAGUUUUAAAUCUUUCAUUUAGUCAACUUAAUCUAAAUCUUUUGAUAAUUUUGCCUAUACAGUCAUUCUGACCAAUUUUGGAAGUAAUUUCAGCUCCAACAGAAAAAAAUUCUAUGCAAAGGUCAAAAUCUGGACAAGUCGCACACUUGAUACGCAUAUAUCCUUGUCGCAGUAGUUGCAGUGAUAGGAAGCCCCUUUCUCUUCAUUUCCCUGACCAAUAGCUACAUUGCACAGCCAACUUUUCAGCAAAACCAGAGACAGGAAAUCUGUCUUGCCCUGCCUAAGAAGAAGUAUGAUUAACAAGAUUUAACCCUUUAAGUGUGAGAGAAAUAACAAGCCAUUCAACUUACCACUAAUAGGUCCUAUCUAGCUCGUCAUAUUGUAGGACCAUAACAUUUUGGUACUUUUACAGCCUUUAAGAAUAAAUUCAAGAAUAAUCAAUGAACAACCCAUGCUUAACAAUCGAAAAAGAAUUCCUAAGCCCAUUAAGAAGAAUUGGGCGCAACCGACCCAAGCAUAUGAGUAUAAGCCCGAAGAAUAGGGAGAGAACUCAUAUCCCCACGAAAGAGCUGACAAGUCGCUGACAACUACCUGCAGAAGCAGAGUCUACAUUUUCUGGACCAGAGGCAAUCCUGUUCCUCUUGGAUCUACCAGAAAGACAAAGUUAAGGUGAGCUUCACCAGCAAUACAAAGCAAGAUAAAAUGUAAACUUCGCUGAAUUAAGGUCCCCCGGAAAGGCUUUCGAAUGAAUUCCUAAAUCUACCAAAAGGCACAGGACUAGUCGAAGUCGGUAGAUAAAGGAUACCGAAUGAGCGAACACAACUACGUGAUCGAGACAUCCGCCCAAAUGACCCCGGCCUCGAACUCGAUUCUACCUAAUAAUGCCAAGAAUUAUGGCCAUCUCUCCAAACUCUUCAAAGAAGUAAAACCAGAAUGGAAGCGAGUCCAUUCCAGAAGCUUUAGAGAACAAAGAGCACGCAGGUCCUAGGCAUUCAAAGCAGGGAAUGGCUCACGCAAUCCUUCAAGCCUCAGCUCUCGAGCUAAUCGAUAUUGCGUGCGAAGCAUCGCUAGACUGUAGAUGAACGAAACCAAUUACAAUCACAGACCAACACGAUCCCCCUAAUCGCAGUGCUCCAAUCCUGCGGAGACAACUUCGUCCUCUAGAAAUUUUCCACAAAAAUCCAAACACAUCGGUCCUCAUCUCACGAAUACAACCAAAAAUCGUACACUGCUGGACCAGUAGCAAACGCAACGAACCUUUGAUUCGGAUCUUCAUCGGCCGGGCGAGAAGCUGCGCAAGAACGUCCCAUCUGAGCCAAACACGCACGUCGGCCGAUUCCGAAUCGAGGUCGCGGAGCUGCUCGAAAAAUAUCCCCUCAAUCCGCUGCCGCCUGCACGAUGCGCAUCGAUCGAGCUCGCUCGGGAAGCGCUUGCAUCAUUGCA
rnacentral:lncRNA from 1 species